UUUCCGGUUGAUCCCGCCGGACCUGACUGCUAUCGGAUUGAUACUAAGCCAUGCGAGUCUUUGUAGUAAUACAAGGCAGACGGCUCAGUAACACGUAGUCAACCUACCCUAUGGACGAGAAUAAUCUCGGGAAACUGAGCAUAAUUCUCGAUAGAUCAUAAUGCCUGGAAUGGUUUAUGGUUAAAAUGAUUCGUCGCCAUAGGAUGGGACUGCGGCCUAUCAGCUUGUUGGUGAGGUAAUGGCCCACCAAGGCGAUUACAGGUACGGGCUCUGAGAGGAGAAGCCCGGAGAUGGGUACUGAGACACGGACCCAGGCCCUAUGGGGCGCAGCAGGCGAGAAAACUUUGCAAUGUGCGAAAGCACGACAAGGUUAAUCCGAGUGAUUUCUGCUAAAGAAAUCUUUUACCAGUCAUAAAACCACUGGUGAAUAAGGGGUGGGCAAGUUCUGGUGUCAGCCGCCGCGGUAAAACCAGCACCUCAAGUGGUCAGGAUGAUUAUUGGGCCUAAAGCAUCCGUAGCCGGCUUUGUUAGUUUUCGGUUAAAUCCAUGUGCUCAACGCAUGGGCUGCCGAAAAUACUGCAAGGCUAGGGAGUGGGAGAGGUAGACGGUACUCAGUAGGAAGGGGUAAAAUCCUUUGAUCUAUUGAUGACCACCUGUGGCGAAGGCGGUCUACCAGAACACGUUCGACGGUGAGGGAUGAAAGCUGGGGGAGCAAACCGGAUUAGAUACCCGGGUAGUCCCAGCUGUAAACGAUGCAGACUCGAUGAUGCAUUGGCAUAUAGCCAGUGCAGUGUCGCAGGGAAGCCGUUAAGUCUGCCGCCUGGGAAGUACGUACGCAAGUAUGAAACUUAAAGGAAUUGGCGGGGGAGCACCACAAGGGGUGAAGCCUGCGGUUCAAUUGGAGUCAACGCCGGG
rnacentral:rRNA from 1 species